rnacentral:rRNA from 1 species
UAUGGCUCAGGACGAACGCUGGCGGCGUGCCUAAUACAUGCAAGUCGAACGGUCUUUCUAUGGAAGCUUGCUUCCACUGAGAAGAUAGUGGCGAACGGGUGAGUAACACGUGGGUAACCUGCCCAUAAGAGGGGGGAUAACAUCCGGAAACGGGUGCUAAUACCGCAUAGUUUUCUUGAUCGCAUGAUCGGGAAAGGAAAGACGGCCUUUGUGCUGUCGCUUAUGGAUGGACCCGCGGCGUAUUAGUUAGUUGGUGAGGUAACGGCUCACCAAGACGAUGAUACGUAGCCGACCUGAGAGGGUGAUCGGCCACAUUGGGACUGAGACACGGCCCAAACUCCUACGGGAGGCAGCAGUAGGGAAUCUUCCGCAAUGGACGAAAGUCUGACGGAGCAACGCCGCGUGAGUGAAAGAAGGUUUUCGGAUCGUAAAACUCUGUUGUCAGAGAAGAACAAGUUGGAGAGUAACUGCUCCAGCCUUGACGGUAUCUGACCAGAAAGCCACGGCUAACUACGUGCCAGCCGCCGC